rnacentral:rRNA from 1 species
UACAGAGGGUGCAAGCGUUGUUCGGAAUCACUGGGCGUAAAGCGUAUGUAGGCGGAUUGUUAAGUCAGGGGUGAAAUCCCGAGGCUCAACCUCGGAACUGCCUUUGAUACUGGCUUUCUUGAGUUCGGGAGAGGUGAGUGGAACUCCUAGUGUAGAGGUGAAAUUCGUAGAUAUUAGGAAGAACACCAGUGGCGAAGGCGGCUCACUGGCCCGAAACUGACGCUGAUGUACGAAAGCGUGGGGAGCAAACAGG